rnacentral:rRNA from 1 species
AACGAACGCUGGCGGCGUGCUUAACACAUGCAAGUCGAACGCGAAAGGGACCUCGGUCCUGAGUAGAGUGGCGCACGGGUGAGUAACGCGUAAGUUAUCUACCCCUCCAUCUGGAAUAACUCACCGAAAGGUGUGCUAAUACCGGAUACGUUGGAAACAAGAAAGGUGGCCUCUAUUUAUACGCUACCGUGGAGGGAUGAGCUUGCGUACCAUUAGCUAGUUGGUAGGGUAAUGGCCUACCAAGGCAACGAUGGUUAGCGGGUCUGAGAGGAUGAUCCGCCACACUGGAACUGGAACACGGACCAGACUCCUACGGGAGGCAGCAGUGAGGAAUAUUGCGCAAUGGGGGAAACCCUGACGCAGCGACGCCGCGUGGAUGAUGAAGGCCUUUGGGUCGUAAAAUCCUGUCAGAUGGAAAGAAAUGUACAUGUGCUAAUAUCACUUGUAUUUGACGGUACCAUCAAAGGAAGCACCGGCUAACUCCGUGCCAGCAGCCGCGGU